UACGGGGGGGGCAAGCAUUGUUCGGAAUUACUGGGCGUAAAGGGCGCGUAGGCGGCCUGCUAAGUCGGACGUGAAAUCCCCCGGCUCAACCGGGGAACUGCGUCCGAUACUGGUGGGCUCGAAUCCGGGAGAGGGAUGUGGAAUUCCAGGUGUAGCGGUGAAAUGCGCAGAUAUCAGGAAGAACACCCGUGGCGGAAGGCGGCUCCUCUGGGACGGUACUGGACGCUGAGACGCGAAAGCGUGGGGAGCGAACAGGG
rnacentral:rRNA from 1 species